rnacentral:rRNA from 1 species
UAGGGAAUAUUCCGCAAUGGGCGAAAGCCUGACGGAGCAACGCCGCGUGAGUGAAGAAGGUCUUCGGAUCGUAAAGCUCUGUCAACAGGGACGAAACAAGACGGUACCUGAGAAGGAAGCCACGGCAAACUACGUGCCAGCAGCCGCGGUAAUACGUAGGUGGCAAGCGUUGUCCGGAAUAACUGGGCGUAAAGGGUGCGCAGGCGUUUUGUUGUGUUAGGAGUUAAAUCUCAAGGCUCAACCUUGGGGCUGCUCCUAAAACUGGCAGAAUAGAGUGUGGAAGACGGAAGUGGAAUUUCUAGUGGAGAGGUAAAAUCCGUUGAUAUUAGAAGGAACACCCGUGGUGUAAACGGCUUCCGAGUCCAUAACUGACGCUCAGGCACGAAAGCUAGGGUAGCAAACA